rnacentral:lncRNA from 1 species
UGUAAGUUGAUGAGUAAGACGUCUAAAGUAUUUACCUCCUUAGAUUUGAUCCAAGGAAAAGAAACACUUUAGAUGAGUCUCCUUGAAAGAUAUCAAGGAAAAAAGCAUCAUAAGAUAAUAAAUUUCUCCAUUAAGGAGAAGAACGAACUUGAAUAAGAUUUAGUUCGUUAGAUGUUAUCUAUUACCCAUAUAUAGGAUAUAUACUUCUAAAACAAUAUGAUUGUCAAUUAGAAGAUCUUCCAAAUUUUUCAUGACUCCAUAAGAUGUAGUUGGAAAGAAAGACAAAUCUUAAGCAUGUUAAGAUUUGGGGUUGUGAGCUAAUAAGCAAUAUUUGUUUGAUAACAAUCUUGUGGGAUAUCCUUAAAUUAACUUUUGGAUAUCACUUCUAUAAACCAAUUAACAAAUGUUGUUUUGUUGGGUAGUUCAUUGUAAUCCUACAAUGUGAUUUGCCUAAAAGCAAAUGAACGAGAGAUAGAAUUCAAAGAAUGGGUUCUUUGAGAGACAAGAAAGUAAUCAACAAAUAUAACAACCUAGUUCCUAUACCAAAGGCUCCAAGGUAGUCGAGAAGGAUUUCUAAACCGUCUCAGUUGAAUGGUUUGAACUUUAUGACUAUGUCAUAGAGUUACACCUCUUAAUUCGAAAUAAAUAAGAAUGAAAAUCCUUAUGACUACAUUGAGUGUAUAUAUGAUAUAUACUCAAGGAAAUGGUAAAGUACCA